rnacentral:rRNA from 1 species
AUUGAACGCUGGCGGCAUGCCUUACACAUGCAAGUCGAACGGCAGCACGGGAGCAAUCCUGGUGGCGAGUGGCGAACGGGUGAGUAAUAUAUCGGAACGUGCCCAGUCGUGGGGGAUAACGUAGCGAAAGCUACGCUAAUACCGCAUACGAUCUAUGGAUGAAAGCGGGGGAUCGCAAGACCUCGCGCGAUUGGAGCGGCCGAUUUCAGAUUAGGUAGUUGGUGAGGGAAAGGCUCAACAAGCCGACGAUCUGUAGCUGGUCUGAGAGGACGACAAGCCAAACUGGGACUGAGACACGGCCCAGACUCCUACGGGAGGCAGCAGUGGGGAAUUUUGGACAAUGGGCGCAAGCCUGAUUCAGCAAUGCCGCGUGCAGGAUGAAGGCCUUCGGGUUGUAAACUGCUUUUGUACGGAGAGAAAAGGCUUCCACUAAUACUGGGGGCUCAUGACGGUACCGUAAGAAUAAGCACCGGCUAACUACGUGCCAGCCGCCGCGGUAAUAC